rnacentral:rRNA from 1 species
GGGUUACCUCCUAUAAAGGGGAUCUAGCUAUACUGCAGUCGAGCGGAAGAUGGGAACUUGCUCCCUGAUGUUAGCGGCGGACGGGUGAGUAACACGUGGGUAACCUGCCUGUAAGACUGGGAUAACUCCGGGAAACCGGGGCUAAUACCGGAUGGUUGUUUGAACCGCAUGGUUCAGACAUAAAAGGUGGCUUCGGCUACCACUUACAGAUGGACCCGCGGCGCAUUAGCUAGUUGGUGAGGUAACGGCUCACCAAGGCGACGAUGCGUAGCCGACCUGAGAGGGUGAUCGGCCACACUGGGACUGAGACACGGCCCAGACUCCUACGGGAGGCAGCAGUAGGGAAUCUUCCGCAAUGGACGAAAGUCUGACGGAGCAACGCCGCGUGAGUGAUGAAGGUUUUCGGAUCGUAAAGCUCUGUUGUUAGGGAAGAACAAGUGCCGUUCAAAUAGGGCGGCACCUUGACGGUACCUAACCAGAAAGCCACGGCUAACUACGUGCCAGCAGCCGCGGUAAUACGUAGGUGGCAAGCGUUGUCCGGAAUUAUUGGGCGUAAAGGGCUCGCAGGCGGUUUCUUAAGUCUGAUGUGAAAGCCCCCGGCUCAACCGGGGAGGGUCAUUGGAAACUGGGGAACUUGAGUGCAGAAGAGGAGAGUGGAAUUCCACGUGUAGCGGUGAAAUGCGUAGAGAUGUGGAGGAACACCAGUGGCGAAGGCGACUCUCUGGUCUGUAACUGACGCUGAGGAGCGAAAGCGUGGGGAGCGAACAGGAUUAGAUACCCUGGUAGUCCACGCCGUAAACGAUGAGUGCUAUGUGUUAGGGGGUUUCCUCCCCCUUAGUGAUUCAAUUAACUCAUUAAUCUCCUCUUCUUGGGAUAUCACCUCCUCUAUGCAUCAAUCUCAGAGAUAAC